AGAAUCAACGCUGGCGGCGUGCCUAACACAUGCAAGUCGCACGAGAAAGGGGAGCAAUCCCUGAGUACAGUGGCGCACGGGUGAGUAACACGUGAAUAAUCUACCUCCGAGUGGGGAAUAACUGAGAGAAAUCUUAGCUAAUACCGCAUAACACUUACGAGUCAAAGCAGCAAUGCGCUUGGAGAGGAGUUCGCGGCAGAUUAGUUAGUUGGCGGGGUAAUGGCCCACCAAGACGAUGAUCUGUAUCCGGCCUGAGAGGACGCACGGACACACUGGAACUGAAACACGGUCCAGACUCCUACGGGAGGCAGCAGUGGGGAAUUUUGCGCAAUGGGGGAAACCCUGACGCAGCAACGCCGCGUGGAGGAUGAAGCCCCUUGGGGUGUAAACUCCUUUCGAUCGGGAAGAUAAUGACGGUACCGAUAUAAGAAGCCCCGGCUAACUUCGUGCCAGCAGCCGC
rnacentral:rRNA from 1 species